rnacentral:lncRNA from 1 species
UCCCGGUCCGGCCGGGGCAGGCCGUCCGGGAUGGUCUCGAACCGGAACCCGUCCACGCCCCGGACGGCGCCCGGCCCGCGCGACCGGACGAGCCGGGCGUGGUUGAACUCCGUGUUGACGAAGGUGAUGCGGAAGCUCCCCCGCGCGUGGAGGAGCUUCGCGAGCCUCAGCAUCGGCGUGAGGUGGCCUUGCGCCGGGAACGGUAAAAACACCGCAUGCGGUGUCGCCGCCGCUUCGCCGUUGCUCUCCAUUUUCUUUUCUUUUAUGCCUUUUCUUUUAAGAUCUUGUUGUGCGGUUGUGGUAUAGUCGCUUGGCGUGAUCGCUCACCAAGCUACUUCUUCUCCUCCUCCUCCUCCUCCUCCUUAAGUGAGUGAGAUCGAUAUAGACCCUGAUUAAUUUUCUAAUUUUUUAUUUCAUUUUUUAAUUUCGUGCCUAGGAUGUAUUUUAUGUUUGAGUCGGUUUCACGUACGUUGGAAAUUUUCGAUUUACUUUAGAAGCGGUGGUAAUUGAAAAACACAUACACAGAUAAGAUUAGAAUUGAUCACGGCAAUUCACGCAAGUAGGGCCCGUAUCUGACAAUAACUGGUGGACAGAGUCUCGAAAUCCCAAUUAUUAAUUAAACAAUUAUAAAUUAUGCUGAUGCAGCAGUGACCACUACCAUCUGGUAAAGACUUAACAACAUUUUUUUAUUUUCAUCCCUCACAUAAUUAAAUAUUUAUUAAUAUUCUAUUUUUUAAAUAUUAAUUAAUAUUUUAUUAAUAUUAAUUAAUAGAAUUUUAAAAUUGUAAAAUUUGACAAUUAAUAUUUUAUUAUAUUGACUAACAUUCCAGAUUCUUUUCUUAUUUUUAUUCCUAGCAUAAUUAAAUAUUUAUUAAUAUUUUUAUUUUUAUUAAAUAUUUAUUAACAUUAACAUUAACAUUAACAUUUUAUUAUUAUUAAUUUAAAUUUUAAAAUUAAUUUUUUAUUUUUUUAUUUUUUUAAAAUAAUAAAAGAAUAAAAAAAAAAUAGAAUUGUAAAUUUUGACAAGGGCCGGGCAUGGCGCGUACCGCUCUACCACAAAUGAUGAUAGGCCAGUGCACCCAACAAAGUGCAAUGUGGAUGACGGGCCUGGGUGGACCACGGGCCUAGGGCAUGGAUUUUGUUGAUCACCCAUAGACCUCGUCCAGGUAAGUAUGGGCUAAAAGCCCACGCACCACUCAUUUUAGAGGACCCGGAACUACGAAGAAUAAUGCAAUAGUCGAUGUGGGAUUAAAGUCCACGCAUCAUUUUGUAUCUACUACUGUUCUGAAGACCAGGUCCACCACUAACCAGACUGGUAAAACUCAAGACAAGGUGAAAUUCAAUAUCGUUUUGAUGUAAUCUACGAACAAACAUUACUAUAUAUAUAGUCAACAACGGGCUUCUUUAUAUUACUACUUUUUCGGGCUAUUCAAAUGCGUCGGUUAUAGAUUAUUUAGACGUUUAAUUAGAUUGGUUCAUGUGCUUUGCAGGUAUAUAAUUCAACUAAACGAUAAAGCAUUAGUGAGGGCAAAAUAAAUUAAAGAUGGAAAAUAAAAAUAAAGUUGAAAAAUCCGACCGGUUGUAGCCAGCUACCUAAUUAAGAAUUUACGACGGUCAAAUCCAACUACAACCCUCCGCUCUGCCAACUGAGCUAAAAUCGAAAGGUUUAAUGCAAGAGAGAGAGAGUAAUCAAAAUUCUCGACCUAAGAACAACUCAAGCAACCGACUGUUCCUAAAGCAAGUGGCAAAGGACAUAAAGAUUGGUAGCCGAGAUCCCAAAUUCGAAAUCUAGUUGAUUCACAUUUCCAACUAAGUUUAUUUUCUAAAUGAAAUAAACGAAACGGAUAGUAUGCUACCUAUUUCUAAAAAAAAAAAGAAAAGAAAAAAAAAAGAGAAUAACUCAAGCACUGCUAUGGGGCCUAUGCGCUAACCGACCGUGCGCACCACGACCACAACUUACGUGACCCAUAAGUAGCAUUUGAUUUCAUCUUACAUGUAGAGUUGCAAACAAAGAUCCCCAGUACAUAUAUAUGUACAUACAUCUGCAAGGAUUGAUCGAGCAAACAGAAAAUGUCUCUAUUAUUCAUCAUGUCAUGGGGGAGUGCUAGCAAGCUCUGCGCAACCAUAUGUCACAGCACAUUAAUUACAACAGUUUUUUCAAGUUUCCAAAUUGAAAGAACAAACUAAAUACAAAUUUUAAAACCAAUCUAUUAAGAGAAGCAAUGUUCAUGUUCACGUUCACUCCCUCUUACUGAAAGAGACCUGCAGGUCAUCCACCAACCUCAGGAUAACUCAAACAUCGCUACGAGACCUACACGCUACUACGCUAGCCAACUGCGGCACCACCCCUUGUUAUGUUGUUAGUAUAUAACACAAAUUUGAUCAAAAUUUUUAAAAUAUUAAGUAAUGCAUGGAUUAAGCAAAUUGAUAAUGUAUUUUCUUGUUCAUUAUUUCAGUGAGCAAGCUCCAAGUAACUAAGCAUCAGAGGACAUUGUGAUGGUUUUUAAUCCCCCACAUUAAAAUUACAAGCUAAAUACAAAAUUUAAAAGUGAAGCAAUAUGAAAAACAACGUUCACUGCCUCUUACUCUUGCUGAAAGAGGCCAAGUCCUCCACCAACCUCUCAAGAUCUACAAAGGAAGAUCCACUGGGCUCAGUUGCUUCUCUAGCCUUCAACUUCCACUCCCUGGCCUUCUCCCUCAUCUCCCUCCCCUUCUCCCCACCCAUCAACUCCCUCACCAUUCUCUCCACCUCCCCUCUCGUCGCAUCACUCCCAAUCUCCAUCCCCAUCCCCCACUCCGUGCACAAGUACCGACAAUUCGUCGGCUGCUCUGCGAAGAACGGCCAACAUAUCAUCGGCACCCCCUGGUGUAUGCUCUCUAACGUGGAGUUCCACCCGCAGUGGCUGAGAAAACCACCAACCGCUGGAUGGGCCAGUACCGCCUUUUGGUUGCACCACUCCGCCAACAAUCCCCUUCCUUCUGUCUCCUUUACAAACCCUUCUGGCAAUACUGCCUUAUCACCACCGACGAGAUCAGGUCGCACCACCCAUAGGAACGGCGACUUGGUGGCUGCUAGUCCCCAUGCAAACUCUGCUAGCUGGUCCCUUGUCAUGACCGCGAUGCUCCCGAAGUUCACGUACACCACCGAUCCUGCAACCUAGGAUGGCAAUUUCCAACAUGACAUGUUAAUGCGACACAACCAUGACUAAACGCAUUGUGAAGUUGCUGUUAGAAAUUCGAAAUCAACAUAAAGACAUAGGAGGUAAUCUUUUAAAGGGCAGAGCUAACACACGACUGCCGAACUCAAACACAACUCUAGAAACCUAAGUGUGGCCCGUAUACGUACCUGUGUGUAUAGCCAUUUUAUGCAGUUGUUAUCUUCCUUCCAAAGGUUGGACCCGAUGGAGGAAGAAGGGGCUGUCGGCGGGAUACUAUGAGACAGAAGAGAAAUCGGACCGAUGACGUAGAGGUUGGGGAGCCUGGAACGAAUGGCGGCGAGGGCAUCGUGCUCGAGGGCGUCGAACGUGUUGAGGAUAAUUCCGAAUGCACGGGGGGCAUCGUCCUCGGACUGCAUGAUGUUGAUGUUGAGCAUGAUGUCGUCGGGAUCAGUGGUCUGGAUAAAGGACGGAAUGUCGCGGAGGCGAAUGUUCUUCAUGCCCCUGAUCCAGUCCAGGGGAGUGUCGAGGUAGCCGUUGGUUAAGUAGCUCUUAUCUGCAUGUGUAUAAUGCAUGCGAGAGUAAAUGUCGUACAUGCAGGGAAAAUAUAGGCUUAUUUGAGAGGAGAUCAUGAACACACGCAUAUAACUUAAUUGAGCACAUUGUUUAUAAUGCAUACAACUUAUUACCCAUAACUGAAUAUCGAAUGAAAUGUUUGAGGUUAAAAACAUGUUGAAUAUUAAAGUAGACAAAAUAUUGAGUUUUUUGUAUGAUUUGUAUGAGGAAGGAUUGAAUAUUGUUCUUUAUCGUAGGUGGUAAAUUUCUUUCAGUAGGUAGUGCUUGUUACUAGUAUACUUUACAUAUUCUCUUUUUGGACAUAAACUAAUAAAUUAAGAGCACAUCAUUAAUUCGAUCUGACUACGUCAAGUAUACAUUAUUCCAACUUCUUAGUUACAUUGACCUUAUAGAAAGGUAAUAUUUGUGAAAGCUUAUCCUAAGGGGAAAAAAAAACUUUCAUUAAAUGCUAUCAUUUUAUGAUGGCCAAAAAUUUCUUUCAGUUGCUCGUGGUAAAAUCUUUAGAUAUUUUUUUCCAUUAAAGAAUAAAAUCGAAAUUACUAAGCUAGAGAGAGAUGUAUACUUUUUUUUUUUUUUUUUGUGGACAUGAGAUAGAGUGGUGAUUACGGACGUAAAUAUGGUGGAAAUGAAGGUACCUUACCUAGUCAAGCUGGUGGAAAUACGGUGGAAAUGAAGGUACCUUACCUAGUCAAGCUGGUGGAAAUAUGGUGGAAAUGAAGGUACCUUACCUAGUCAAGCUGGUUCACAUAAAUAUAUGCAUGUGAAACCAAGCCAAACCGACAAUUUUGAUAUAGUUUUGGAUGCAAAUGAUUUGAUUUUAGUUUAAUCAAUUUUGAAACCAAAAAUUGUGGUUGGUUUUGAGUUGAAAUUUUGAGAAAACUUCUUAAAUUGCAAAACCAAAUUAUAUAUUUUUACGUGUAUCUACAGUACUACUUAUAAAAGCGUGAGUUUUAAAUUUUUUCUCUUUCAAAAAAUGCCUCUACUCUUUUAUUAAUAUUUUCGUGUCCAGUAAUCUCCAACCAAUCAUUUUAAAUAAUUUACUAAAUAAUAACUUAUUCUCAAAUAAAGAUAUAUAUAAAUUAUAUAUAUAUAAUACCGGAGUUUUGAUAUUAUAGUCUUAUUUUCGAUUUUAGAAUAUUCAAAUCAACAACUAUGUACAACUAUAAUAUCAUUUGUAAAAAGUUAUAUACAGGAAAAUGUAAUUUCAGAUAGGAUGCUUCCACAAAUGUAAGCGCCAAUUAGAGCAUAUUUGUUUCACUGAAAGUGGACUUUGUGUUGAAGUGGAAUUUAAGUUGAAGUGGAAUUCAGUAAAAACUACUUUUUUUUGCUCUUUGUUUCGUAAAUAUUAUAGAAGCGAAGUUUUAUUAGUUCUGCUAUUUGGUUGGUAAGAAGUGUAUGAUAUAUAAAACUAUAAUUUAUAUAUAAAUAAUAAAUAUUUUAAUAAAUAAAAAUAAUAUAAUUAUUUUUUUAUAUAAUUAAAAUUUAAUUUAAAAUAAAUAAAUUAUUUUUUAUACAUAAAUUAUAGUAAUACAACAAUAAAAUUAUAAAGUUAAAAAAUAUUAAUACUUAAUUAAUCAAUUUUUAUUAUAUUUUAAUUAUACAAAAUAAAUAAAAAAUAUUAAAACUUAACUAAUUAAUUUUUAUCAUAUAUUAAAUAUGUCAACUGAAUAAAAAAAUAAUUAGUAAUAUAAUUAAGUAUCUUUAAAUAUAAUUAUUUUUAUCUAAUAUAUUAUUUUAUCAUCUUUUUCUUUAUAUCUUUUCACCAUAAUUGACUUCCGGUUGUUGUCAAUUACGCCGUUUGAGAUUAAUUCAAAUUUCGACCGUAACUUUGUUACGACGAACCAAACAACGAAGAUAUAUAAUUAUUUAUGGCGAAAACGACUUCUCUCUAUUCCACUUCUACCCUACUUCCAUCCAAACAAACAUGCCCUUAACCAACGCAAUUGUGCUAACACUAUUCGUCCCUUGCCUAAACAAACUCUAAAUAUAUAUUAAUUAAAAUUCUUUGCAGUUACUUCAAUAUAUGUAUGAGCAAUCUAAACUUGGACUAGCUAGCUAGCUACAUAUUUUUACUCCAUAGAAAUGGUGUAUAUUUCUUAACUCAAAAAAAAAAAAAGAAAAACAAAGAAAGAACACUACAACAAAAACGGUUUAUAGCGACACUUUUAAAUAUAGGCACAAGUCAAAAAAGUGCUGCUAGCUAAAAUUACCGACACUUUUAAAAAGUGUUGCUAUAUGUGGGGUCGCUAGGUAUGUAGUGACAGUUAAAGAGUGUCGCUAUAACCUAAAAGAGUGCCACUAAUUUACCAACACUUAUUUAAACAUUUAGCAACCGCCGAAACUCUAUCUCGUUGGCUGCGGUGGCGGAGGAGGACGACAGUAAAGGCUAUUCAUCUAGAAUUUCAGUGGAUUGAGUGAAGAGAGAAAAAAAGAUGGUAAUUGAUUUUUCUUUUUUUUUUCUUUUCUGUUUGUAAUCGGGCCAAAUGGACUGGGUGUGGUGGGUUGAGUAGAGUAAUCUUUUAUUUUUGGUUGGAUUAAGCUUUAUAUUUAGGUAUUAGUAGAUGUGUUUUUAAGUUUUAGCAUAAAUGGAACACUUAUUCAAAAAUGUCCUAAACAUGUGCCGCUAUAACCUAAUUCUGUGUUAGUGGAACAAGAAGUCAAUCUACUUAAUGGGAUGCUCCAUAUUUAUAAAGCUAGUGAUCUUAAUUAUUCUUGAGAGAAGCUAUGUACACAAAUACCAGUAGUAUUAGUAAGAACAACUUGUAACUUUAAAUAGAAGAAAAAAAAAAAACUUCUCACUCUGAAGGGAGGUGUGAACUAUCUGCUAAGAAUUAAUAUAAAUUUUAAAGCAAGUUAUAUGUAUAUGCAGGUUUGGAUAGUUUACACUUACCUCUUUCUUAUUGGAGAGCUCUUCAGUGAAGUUUUGUUAUAACAAACCUUUUAGCGGGACGUAGCCUCUCCUCACGAGCUCUGCAUAGUUCAUGUACCCCAGCACCCCGCCGGCGCUAGGGGUGAAGAAGAUCAGGACGGGGAUCCCCAUCUCCUCCGCCGGGUACACCGCGAACCCCAUCGCCCCGUCCGCCACCACGCACGUCACCGGAUCCCCCGCGGCGCUGUGCCGUGAGAUGAGCUCCUUGAGCGGGGGCCCGCACGUGAGGCGGGUGGACGCGCAGAGCUGGGGCACGUCCUGCGUCCCGUCCCGGUCGGACUGGGGCAGGGCGUCCGGGAUGGUCUCGAACCGGAACCCGUCCACGCCCCGGACGGCGCCCGGCCCGCGCGACCGGACGAGCCGGGCGUGGUUGAACUCCGUGUUGACGAAGGUGAUGCGGAAGCUCCCCCGCGCGUGGAGGAGCUUCGCGAGCCUCAGCAUCGGCGUGACGUGGCCUUGCGCCGGGAACGGUAAAAACACCGCAUGUGGUGCCGCCGCCGCAGCCGCCGCCGCCGC